AAAAAGGGUGUCUGUUGUGAUUAGCACUGUUGUGAAAGAUCAACUUGGACCCAAUAAUGGAAUCACUAUCAAGAGAUUUUGGACGCACAAUUUUUUGCAUAUCGGGUUUACCAGUGGCCAAUGUUAUUGGUACCCCA